GGAGGAGUUGAGGUGGACUCAGCCGUCGGCUGAGUUGCACGAAAGGCAGCGGUAGUACAAUCGUGACGUGUAAUCCGCCGUUUGGUACGUAAUAUCUUCAAGGGUACUGAAAUACCUGUUAAGGAACCAAUAGGAACAGAAACGGAAACAAAUACAUAUUUUUUAUCUUUCCACAGAUUUCUUUACAAUCCAUGUCUACGAGAACAAUAUUAAGUACCAGUUACUUAACUUUUUUUUAAUUUUCCCCUAACCUCAAAUGCCCUCAGGGGCAAACAUUCAAACAUAUGUUAUUACCUUGGAAACCUGUUUCUUGUCCACAAUUAAGUGUGACGGUGCGGUUGAUAAGAUUACAAUGCUGUAUUGUGUGUUGUUUGAUCCCAGUCCCAUUCACUUAGAAUGGAAGUAGUGAAAAAUAUUCUCAAGUUUGAUAAUCCUCAGUAAAAAUGCAGUGCCAGUUUUGCAGUAUCUCUUGCAUAUAUAUUCUACAGUGCUGAUACCAUCUCUGAAAAGGGAUAAGUGAGAUAAUUGAACCUUUUUAAGAAGUAAUAUUUUUUGAGUUUUUCAUCUUUCUUUCCUGAGUAAGCCAAAUUGUUAUAUUUCUUGCUUUGCAAAGCUCGGUUAAUUGGAAGUUAAUCUCAGUGUUUAUCAGGUUUAUUCACCUUCAUACUGUAAAUUGUUGAACACUUAUGGCCCUUGGAAAGGGAAAGAAUGGAGCUUUAUUUGGCAGCACAGAGUCAAAGAUUUGAAGAUUUUUUUUCUCCUUCUCCCCACAGCUCCGCAUCAUCUGCCACCACCUCCUCAUCUUGUUCACUGCAUCUACUGGACCAACCUUUGCCUUCCCAAGCUCAGUCCCUUUAUGUAUGGGGAUGAUUAGGAGAUUAAGGAAGGUUAUACAACAUUGUGAAUUUUGAUCCUGAAUAGCUUUAUGACCUCAAAAACCUCAGAAGGCAUGAAAUUAAAAAAAAAAAAAAACUGCAGGUA